rnacentral:tRNA from 1 species
UGUCCAGGGAUGGGAAUCGAACCCACAAUGCUCCGCUUACCGGGCAGAUGCCAUGUCCACUAGGUUCCCUGGAC